rnacentral:rRNA from 1 species
CGGCAGCACGGACUUCGGUCUGGUGGCGAGUGGCGAACGGGUGAGUAAUGCGCCGGAACGUAUCCAGUAGAGGGGGAUAACGCAGCGAAAGCUGUGCUAAUACCGCAUACGCCCUGAGGGGGAAAGCAUGGGAUCUUCGGACCAUGCGUUAUUGGAGCGGCCGACGUCUGAUAAGCUAGUAGGUGAGGUAAAGGCUCACCUAGGCGAUGAUCAGUAGCUGGUCUGAGAGGAUGAUCAGCCACACUGGAACUGAGAGACGGUCCAGACUCCUACGGGAGGCAGCAGUGGGGAAUUUUGGACAAUGGGCGCAAGCCUGAUCCAGCCAUUCCGCGUGAGUGAAGAAGGCCUUCGGGUUGUAAAGCUCUUUCGGCAGGGAAGAAAAGGUUCUGGUUAAUAACUGGAACUGCUGACGGUACCUGAAGAAGAAGCACCGGCUAACUACGUGCCAGCAGCCGCGGUAAUACGUAGGGUGCGAGCGUUAAUCGGAAUUACUGGGCGUAAAGGGUGCGCAGGCGGCUCUGUAAGUCUGACGUGAAAUCCCCGGGCUUAACCUGGGAACUGCGUUGGAAACUGUAGAGCUAGAGUGUAGCAGAGGGGGGUAGAAUUCCACGUGUAGCAGUGAAAUGCGUAGAGAUGUGGAGGAAUACCGAUGGCGAAGGCAGCCCCCUGGGUUAACACUGACGCUCAGGCACGAAAGCGUGGGUAGCAAACAGGAUUAGAUACCCUGGUAGUCCACGCCCUAAACGAUGUCAACUAGUUGUUGGGGAGGGAGA